rnacentral:rRNA from 1 species
UACGACUACAUAUCAGGCAUAUCAAUAAGCGGAGGAAAAGAAACCAACAAGGAUUCCCUUAGUAACGGCGAGUGAAGCGGGAAGAGCUCAAAUUUGAAAUCUUCAAGGUUUUACCUUGACGAAUUGUAGUUUAAAGAAGUGUUUUCUGUUGAAGUUUUGGUAAAAGUUCUUUGGAACAGGGCAUCAUAGAGGGUGAGAAUCCCGUAUUUGACCACUAUUUUCAGCUGUGUGAUACACUUUCAAAGAGUCGGAUUGUUUGGGAAUGCAGUCCAAAAUGGGUGGUAAAUUUCAUCUAAAGCUAAAUAUUGGCGAGAGACCGAUAGCGAACAAGUACCGUGAGGGAAAGAUGAAAAGAACUUUGAAAAGAGAGUUAAACAGUACGUGAAAUUGUCAAAAGGGAAGCGUUUGACACCAGCGUUGUUUUCUCGAAAAUCAAUUAAAAAAGUUGGAUUUUGUGUUGUAUUGACCUUAACAGCUUGCUUCACUCUUUUCCAGCUUUUUUUAAUGCACUUUUCGUUUAACAAGUCAACAUCAGUUUCUUUUGUUGUAAAAGGGUCAUUGGAAGGUGGCUUUCUCUUCGGAGAAAGUGUUUAUAGCCUUUGGCCUCUGCAAUCGGAGAGAUUGAGGUCUGCAGCGUAGAUCCUUCGGGGUUAGAUACAUUUGUGCUAAGUUAUAGCCUUUCAUAGACAACUUGUUGACUAUGAUCAGUCAUGUAGCUUACUCGCUUAUGCUAUUUUACCUACGCUUAGGAUGUUGAGCGCAUGUCUCUCUCU